rnacentral:tRNA from 1 species
GUAGCUCAGGUGGUUAGAGCGUUCGCCUGAUAAGCGAGAGGUCGGUGGUUCGAGUCCACUC